CCCCACCAAUGAUUUUUAAUUUUAGAUUAAGGAAAAUAUAUAUCUGGCACAAAUUGAAUAGAUGUGUUUUCCUGAAACAGACACAUUUCUAUUCAUGGACAUUAGGCAGAGAAACAUUCUGAGAACAUGACAAACAUAUGCUCCACUAGGCUUGAGUUAAAUGCUGCCUCUUUUCUCCUAAUAAACUGGGAUCUGCACCUGUUUCAUACUGCAGUUAGAAGUCACUUGUAAGACAGGAAUAAUCAUCUAUUUGUCACAAAUCUUUUCUCCCUUUUUCCUUUAAGUUUCUCUUUAUUGUUGACACCAAUUAUUACUACAACAUUCACAAAAAAAGUCAUCUGAACUACUUUUUGGCACAUUGGAAAUGGAAAGUACUGUGUAUUUUCCUUGAAAUUUCAAUAAAAAGAAACAAUUUGCCUCCAUUCUUACACAUAAAUAAGUUUGCACAUGAUUACAAUCAGACACAUGAUAAAGCACAUAUGCAGUGAGCAGAGUCUUACAUUAUUCAAGCCUAUACUUCAGCGUAGAGACCUUCCAGUUCCUUGCACCAUAGUAUUCAACUACUCCACUUAAUUGACACAAUUAAGUGAAGAACCAGUAUUGUUGACAUAACUUCUUCCAUAAAGGCACUUCUCCUUAACAUGUGACAAAAUCACUUGUUAAACAAAACCAACAUUUUCUAAAGUCAGAGCUAAUUCUCUUCACACUGUGGCAAGGAGCUACAACAGAGAAGCACACACACACACACCACAAAAACAAGUCUACACACAAAAUUAUAAAACAGAAGCCCCAUACCCUAUUCUAUACUGUUGAAUUAUAGAACUUAAGGGGCCCACUGCUUCCCUGCAGAGGUGUGGUCUGUGGUAUCUAUUGUCAAGGGAAAAAUCCUCCAUUUUGUCUUCUCUGUGUGAUUCAGGUCUUUGAAAAUGACUUCCUGAAUCCAGAUCAUACCCAAUUCACAAUGUGAUCAUGAGGAACAGAGAGAACAACGUAAGUUAAUAGAAGUCAGUAGAUUUUGGCUGUGUUUCACACACUCUCCAGUCAUGAUCAGUGAAGAAGUCUACUAAUGCUCACAAGAUCCAUACUUAUAGUACAAGUGGCAUUGCAUGAGAGAAACCCCAGAACACUUGCUGGACACUAAGAUAACUGCUUGAUGAUGUCAAAGCUGUUUACAGGAAACAUAAGUCUGUUAAAAAAUAAGCUAAUUAAAAAUAAUCAAAAUCAGUCAGUAUGAUAAUAUCUUUAUUAACAGAGAUAAAUAUGAAGGAGACAAAAUAGAAAACAAUAAAACAGAAAAGACAGAAUUGAGGGUCCCAAAAAAGCAAGACAGUGGAAUAACAUGAGAGAAGUGGUGGUUCAGAUCCUUUUUCUGCUUUUCUAUAACAGUCGAAAGUGGUUGUAAUUAGGAAGGGCAUGAUAAUGAGACCAGAAGUUUAGGAGCUAAUUAGUGGCUCAAUCCAUGAGGAUGGCAUAGAUCUAAUGGCUGCUACAUGUAUGGAUUGUCUGAUGAACAUGAAGAGAAGAGCUAUGCCUAAAGCAUUUUGCACAGUCAUAACAUUUAUAAGGUUUUUCUCCAGUAUGGAUUCUCCUAUGACAUUGAAGACUGAAGGACUUACCAAAGGACUUUCCACAGUCAUCACAUUUAUAAGGUUUCUCUCCAGUAUGGAUUCUCCUAUGACAUUGAAGAUUCGAGGACAUACCAAAGGACUUUCCACAGUCAUCACAUUUAUAAGGUUUCUCUCCAGUAUGGAUUCUCCUAUGGCAUUGAAGAUGGGAGGACUGAACAAAGGACUUUCCACAGUCAUCACAUUUAUAAGAUUUCUUUCCAGUAUGGAUUCUCCUAUGACAUUGAAGAAUUGAGGACUUACCAAAGUACUUUCCACAGUCAUCACAUUUAUAAGGUUUCUCUCCAGUAUGGAUUCUCCUAUGGCAUUGAAGGUGGGAGGACUGGACAAAGGAAUUUCCACAGUCAUCACAUUUAUAAGGUUUCUUUCCAGUAUGGAUUCUCCUAUGACAUUGAAGAAUUGAGGACUUACCAAAGGACUUUCCACAGUCAUCACAUUUAUAAGGUUUCUCUCCAGUAUGGAUUCUCUCAUGAACAUGAAGAGAUGAGCACCUAGUAAAGUGUUUUCCACAUUUGUCACAUUUAUAAAGUUCCUUUCCUAUAUGGAUUCUGUGGUGAACAUGAAGUGAUGAUCUUUUCCUAAAGGAUUUUCCACAUUCAUCACAUUUAUAAGGUUUCUCUCUCAUAUGGAUUCUGUGAUGACUAUGAAGGUAUGAAAGAUUGCUAUAGGACUUUCCA